rnacentral:rRNA from 1 species
GUCGAGAAUCUUUCACAAUGGGGGCAACCCUGAUGGAGCGACGCCGCGUGGAGGAUAAGGUCUUCGGAUUGUAAACUCCUGUCAUGCGUGAACAAGGUUGCUUGGUUAAUACCUGGGCAAAUUGAUGGUAGCGCAAGAGGAAGAGACGGCUAACUCUGUGCCAGCAGCCGCGGUAAUACAGAGGUCUCAAGCGUUGUUCGGAAUCACUGGGCGUAAAGGGUGCGUAGGUGGCGUGGUAAGUCAGAUGUGAAAGCCCGGGGCUCAACCUCGGAACUGCAUCCGAUACUGCCAUGCUAGAGUACUGGAGAGGUGACUAGAAUUCUCGGUGUAGCAGUGAAAUGCGUAGAUAUCGAGAGGAAUACCAAAGGCGUAGGCAGGUCACUGGACAGUUACUGACACUGAGGCACGAAGGCCAGGGGAGCGAACGGGAUUAGAUACCCCUGUAGUCC